CUGAUUUUAAUUAUGAUUUUAAUAUUUUAUUUAGACCCGUCGACUGUUCGUACUUCAGAGGCGAACCAGAGUUAGAUUGCUUGUCAGGAUCACGUGGAUUUAGCAAGCAGUUUAUGAUUUGAGCUUUGGUCGAUCUCCGUUUCUUCAUUCUCGGAGGUUCUUUAUUUAUUUCAGAAAUAAAGUGUCGAACUAUUUUAAACUCUUAGACCGCAGUAGUAGUUUCAUAUUAUUCA